rnacentral:rRNA from 1 species
UCCUACGGGAGGCAGCAGUAGGGAAUCUUCCGCAAUGGGCGAAAGCCUGACGGAGCGACGCCGCGUGAGCGAAGAAGGCCUUCGGGUCGUAAAGCUCUGUUGUGAGGGACGAAGGAGCGCCGUUCGAAGAGGGCGGCGCGGUGACGGUACCUCACGAGAAAGCCCCGGCUAACUACGUGCCAGCAGCCGCGGUAAUAAGAA